rnacentral:rRNA from 2 species
UUGACCUCAAAUCAGGUAGGACUACCCGCUGAACUUAAGCAUAUCAAUAAGCGGAGGAAAAGAAACUAACAAGGAUUCCCCUAGUAACUGCGAGUGAAGCGGGAAAAGCUCAAAUUUGAAAUCUGGCAGUCUUUUUUUUCUUCUUUGGCUGUCCGAGUUGUAAUCUAGAGAAGUGCUUACCUGCACUG